CCGUAGAAGUAGGGCUACCCCUGGCUUUACUGAAUUAACUAGCUGUGUCUGCUGUCUAGUUGGACCAGAUUUAGCUAGAUAAUGGGGUAGAGAAUAGUUGAGCGGUGCUGUGUGUAGCUUGAACUGUACUGGCUGGCAAGAAUCUAGUAAGCACCCUAUGCACUGAUAACUCGUCAGAAUGGAGGGUAUGUUCUAGGGAUCUGGACAGCUGUACAUCCAAAGGAGCCAGGGAGUGCCAAUCAUCUUCUCCCAGUCUCUGACACGCUAAACAAAAGGAGCUAGAACUGGGAGUCCCAGCUAGAAUUGCUAGCCGGAUCUAGACUAAUAGAAUGACUUGGAGGCGUGGUGAGGCCGGAUCCACACUAAUUGAUCGACCUAAAGACGCUCCUGUUCCAGAUUUCACGAAUGGCAAGGAAAGGGUUAUUUUUCAAAACUUUUGAAUCCAAAUGGAGCUGAUUGGACUCCUUGACACUGUCAGCGAGCUUGAGCACACUGUCAGAGAGCUUGAGGAGGACCAGGAAGUCUGUUAUGACCAUGACGAGCCCAGUGAUGACGAUUUUGAGACAGAUCUGGAGAGUGAUUCAGAUGCUGCAGUGGAGGAUGAUGACGAAAUGGUCGAUGGCAUGGCUCCGACUCCCAAACGGAGGAAGCUGGCGAGGGACAAUGGACUCCAAAAAGCUAAGUCCACAGGAAGAUACCCCGUCUUUGGCGGUGUGGUCGGUCCUGUCGAUCAACUUGAUCCGUCUGUAACUCCAUGCCUAGAUUUUGUUAAGUUACUUUGGCCCGAUAGUUUGUGUGAGUACAUAGCCGAACAGACCAACCUGUACGCUAGGCAGUGUGGUGCUAAGGGUUGGUCAGCUACAAACAGUGCCGAAUUGUGGGUGUUUUUGGGGAUUGUACUAGAGAUGGGCAUUCAUAGGCUCCCUGAAAUUACGGACUACUGGUCCAAGGAUCCCCUUUUAGGUGUACAAUGUGUGAGCAAUGUAAUGUCGCUCAAAAGGUUCCAAAGUUUAUGGCGGUAUCUGCACUGUGAGGACAAUACGUCCAUCACUGAUGCACGUAAGGUAACUAGCAAGCUAAAAACUGUUUUAGAGACUCUUAAAGCCAACUACUUCAUGAGGUAUAAUCCCAGUCAGGAGCUUUCCGUUGAUGAGAUGAUGAUAAAGUACAAGGGUCGUAAAAGCGGGAAAAUUCAUAUGCCCAAGAAGCCUGUUAAACUGGGGUUCAAGGUAUGGUGCUGCUCAUGUUCAUGCUGUGGGUAUCUCUGUGUGUUUGAUGUAUACAGUGGUAAGCUCACCGAUUCCUCUGGGAAAAAGAUAGCUGUGAAAGGGCUUGUGAAAAAUGUAGUCCAUCGUUUACUCACUCCUUUUUAUGGUCAUCAGCAUGUUGUGUACAUGGACAACUUUUACACGUCCGGUCCAUUGAUAGAAGAGUUGGCUAAGCAAAAUGUGUUUACUGUCGGCACAAUUUUGAAGAAUGCUGCUGGUUUCCCAGCAAGUCUUAAGGAUGUGGUACUCGACAAAGGUGACUAUACGUCCAUGACUGUUGGUGAUAUUUCUUACUCUAUGUUUAACGACCGUAGAGUUGUGUCCUUUGCAACAAAUGUGUUCCCUGACCAUAUGCCCCACACUGUAAUGCGAAUGCACAAAGACGGUACCCUACGCUCUCAGAGUGUCCCCCCCUGUCUCCCUGCAUAUAACAUGUACAUGGGAGGAGUUGACAAUACAGGGCGUAUGAGGAAAACCUAUGGGUACGAUAGAAAGUGUCGGCGGUAUUGGUUCAGGAUUUUCUUUCAAUUCCUUGACGUUAGUGUGAAUAAUGCAUACAUUCUAUACAGGCACAACUGUGUCAGGGUGGGUUCAAAGGCCAUGCCUUUGAAAGGGUUUCGAUUGGAACUAAUUCAUAGUCUAUUGGGUGUGCCACGUACUCGUAGCAGUGCCUCAGGUCUGGCCAGUCUAAAUAUCGUUUUCCCCCCAUCACAGGGCGCACGUGUGAGUGCAAAUAGUGUCGGAGUGUCUCGUGGGCGCUGUCAAGUGUGUGUUCGGGAGAAGAUCCCUAGCAGAGAGCAGCAACACACUGCAAUGGCAUGUCCCCACUGUCGCAUAAGAAUAUGCAAAGGACACUCUGUUAUCGGACACACAUGUGCUAGCUAAUGUGCUGUGUGACUGAUUUUUGUUAGAUGGUACUCUCCUGGUCUAAAUUGGCCUUGGAGAGGGGAGGAAAGGGGUAUUAUUUCAAUGAUUAAUAAAAUUGUGAUAAAGAAUUCAGUUGUAUAUGAGAGGCCCUAACCCACUCUGUUGUAAAUUCUGUUGUAAUUAUCUCUUUCCUUGGCAAUCUGUUGUAGAAAUUACAACAAUGGGUAAGGAAUCGUUAUGAUGAAUUAGAUGAAGUUGUAUGUGAGCUCCUCCCUGACAAACAAACUGUAGUCUAGGUAACCGCCUUAUCAGUCAAGUAGGCUAAAAAUCUGUGUCCUUUGAUGUAAGCUUUGAUGUCUCUUUGUGCAUAUGUAGUUAUAAAAAAAAAAAAAAAAAAAAAAAAGAAACCUUUGACUAGCUAGGAAGAGUAGCAGCAGUAGGCAGCAGUAGUAGUAGCAGUGCAAGCAGGACUAGACUAGAUUAAAAAGUUGGUGGAAAGAAUAACUGACCGUUUGGACGUCACCUGGCUGCCAGACUUUCAUCUGGACUCUUCCCCCUGAGUAGCUGGCCUUUCUCUAAGCCACAAAACUGAGCAAGAAGCUGAAGAAGCAGCUAGACAGAGACAUGUACCUAGCCUUGAGAAUUGGGAGGCGUGGCUCAACUAGUUAGCCCAGCCCAGAGGAAUUGUUACCGUGGGUACUGAACAACCGUAGAAGUAGGGCUACCCCUGGCUUUACUGAAUUAACUAGCUGUGUCUGCUGUCUAGUUGGACCAGAUUUAGCUAGAUAAUGGGGUAGAGAAUAGUUGAGCGGUGCUGUGUGUAGCUUGAACUGUACUGGCUGGCAAGAAUCUAGUAAGCACCCUAUGCACUGAUAACUCGUCAGAAUGGAGGGUAUGUUCUAGGGAUCUGGACAGCUGUACAUCCAAAGGAGCCAGGGAGUGCCAAUCAUCUUCUCCCAGUCUCUGACACGCUAAACAAAAGGAGCUAGAACUGGGAGUCCCAGCUAGAAUUGCUAGCCGGAUCUAGACUAAUAGAAUGACUUGGAGGCGUGGUGAGGCCGGAUCCACACUAAUUGAUCGACCUAAAGACGCUCCUGUUCCAGAUUUCACGAAUGGCAAGGAAAGGGUUAUUUUUCAAAACUUUUGAAUCCAAAUGGAGCUGAUUGGACUCCUUGACACUGUCAGCGAGCUUGAGCACACUGUCAGAGAGCUUGAGGAGGACCAGGAAGUCUGUUAUGACCAUGACGAGCCCAGUGAUGACGAUUUUGAGACAGAUCUGGAGAGUGAUUCAGAUGCUGCAGUGGAGGAUGAUGACGAAAUGGUCGAUGGCAUGGCUCCGACUCCCAAACGGAGGAAGCUGGCGAGGGACAAUGGACUCCAAAAAGCUAAGUCCACAGGAAGAUACCCCGUCUUUGGCGGUGUGGUCGGUCCUGUCGAUCAACUUGAUCCGUCUGUAACUCCAUGCCUAGAUUUUGUUAAGUUACUUUGGCCCGAUAGUUUGUGUGAGUACAUAGCCGAACAGACCAACCUGUACGCUAGGCAGUGUGGUGCUAAGGGUUGGUCAGCUACAAACAGUGCCGAAUUGUGGGUGUUUUUGGGGAUUGUACUAGAGAUGGGCAUUCAUAGGCUCCCUGAAAUUACGGACUACUGGUCCAAGGAUCCCCUUUUAGGUGUACAAUGUGUGAGCAAUGUAAUGUCGCUCAAAAGGUUCCAAAGUUUAUGGCGGUAUCUGCACUGUGAGGACAAUACGUCCAUCACUGAUGCACGUAAGGUAACUAGCAAGCUAAAAACUGUUUUAGAGACUCUUAAAGCCAACUACUUCAUGAGGUAUAAUCCCAGUCAGGAGCUUUCCGUUGAUGAGAUGAUGAUAAAGUACAAGGGUCGUAAAAGCGGGAAAAUUCAUAUGCCCAAGAAGCCUGUUAAACUGGGGUUCAAGGUAUGGUGCUGCUCAUGUUCAUGCUGUGGGUAUCUCUGUGUGUUUGAUGUAUACAGUGGUAAGCUCACCGAUUCCUCUGGGAAAAAGAUAGCUGUGAAAGGGCUUGUGAAAAAUGUAGUCCAUCGUUUACUCACUCCUUUUUAUGGUCAUCAGCAUGUUGUGUACAUGGACAACUUUUACACGUCCGGUCCAUUGAUAGAAGAGUUGGCUAAGCAAAAUGUGUUUACUGUCGGCACAAUUUUGAAGAAUGCUGCUGGUUUCCCAGCAAGUCUUAAGGAUGUGGUACUCGACAAAGGUGACUAUACGUCCAUGACUGUUGGUGAUAUUUCUUACUCUAUGUUUAACGACCGUAGAGUUGUGUCCUUUGCAACAAAUGUGUUCCCUGACCAUAUGCCCCACACUGUAAUGCGAAUGCACAAAGACGGUACCCUACGCUCUCAGAGUGUCCCCCCCUGUCUCCCUGCAUAUAACAUGUACAUGGGAGGAGUUGACAAUACAGGGCGUAUGAGGAAAACCUAUGGGUACGAUAGAAAGUGUCGGCGGUAUUGGUUCAGGAUUUUCUUUCAAUUCCUUGACGUUAGUGUGAAUAAUGCAUACAUUCUAUACAGGCACAACUGUGUCAGGGUGGGUUCAAAGGCCAUGCCUUUGAAAGGGUUUCGAUUGGAACUAAUUCAUAGUCUAUUGGGUGUGCCACGUACUCGUAGCAGUGCCUCAGGUCUGGCCAGUCUAAAUAUCGUUUUCCCCCCAUCACAGGGCGCACGUGUGAGUGCAAAUAGUGUCGGAGUGUCUCGUGGGCGCUGUCAAGUGUGUGUUCGGGAGAAGAUCCCUAGCAGAGAGCAGCAACACACUGCAAUGGCAUGUCCCCACUGUCGCAUAAGAAUAUGCAAAGGACACUCUGUUAUCGGACACACAUGUGCUAGCUAAUGUGCUGUGUGACUGAUUUUUGUUAGAUGGUACUCUCCUGGUCUAAAUUGGCCUUGGAGAGGGGAGGAAAGGGGUAUUAUUUCAAUGAUUAAUAAAAUUGUGAUAAAGAAUUCAGUUGUAUAUGAGAGGCCCUAACCCACUCUGUUGUAAAUUCUGUUGUAAUUAUUUUUCAAAACUUUUGAAUCCAAAUGGAGCUGAUUGGACUCCUUGACACUGUCAGCGAGCUUGAGCACACUGUCAGAGAGCUUGAGGAGGACCAGGAAGUCUGUUAUGACCAUGACGAGCCCAGUGAUGACGAUUUUGAGACAGAUCUGGAGAGUGAUUCAGAUGCUGCAGUGGAGGAUGAUGACGAAAUGGUCGAUGGCAUGGCUCCGACUCCCAAACGGAGGAAGCUGGCGAGGGACAAUGGACUCCAAAAAGCUAAGUCCACAGGAAGAUACCCCGUCUUUGGCGGUGUGGUCGGUCCUGUCGAUCAACUUGAUCCGUCUGUAACUCCAUGCCUAGAUUUUGUUAAGUUACUUUGGCCCGAUAGUUUGUGUGAGUACAUAGCCGAACAGACCAACCUGUACGCUAGGCAGUGUGGUGCUAAGGGUUGGUCAGCUACAAACAGUGCCGAAUUGUGGGUGUUUUUGGGGAUUGUACUAGAGAUGGGCAUUCAUAGGCUCCCUGAAAUUACGGACUACUGGUCCAAGGAUCCCCUUUUAGGUGUACAAUGUGUGAGCAAUGUAAUGUCGCUCAAAAGGUUCCAAAGUUUAUGGCGGUAUCUGCACUGUGAGGACAAUACGUCCAUCACUGAUGCACGUAAGGUAACUAGCAAGCUAAAAACUGUUUUAGAGACUCUUAAAGCCAACUACUUCAUGAGGUAUAAUCCCAGUCAGGAGCUUUCCGUUGAUGAGAUGAUGAUAAAGUACAAGGGUCGUAAAAGCGGGAAAAUUCAUAUGCCCAAGAAGCCUGUUAAACUGGGGUUCAAGGUAUGGUGCUGCUCAUGUUCAUGCUGUGGGUAUCUCUGUGUGUUUGAUGUAUACAGUGGUAAGCUCACCGAUUCCUCUGGGAAAAAGAUAGCUGUGAAAGGGCUUGUGAAAAAUGUAGUCCAUCGUUUACUCACUCCUUUUUAUGGUCAUCAGCAUGUUGUGUACAUGGACAACUUUUACACGUCCGGUCCAUUGAUAGAAGAGUUGGCUAAGCAAAAUGUGUUUACUGUCGGCACAAUUUUGAAGAAUGCUGCUGGUUUCCCAGCAAGUCUUAAGGAUGUGGUACUCGACAAAGGUGACUAUACGUCCAUGACUGUUGGUGAUAUUUCUUACUCUAUGUUUAACGACCGUAGAGUUGUGUCCUUUGCAACAAAUGUGUUCCCUGACCAUAUGCCCCACACUGUAAUGCGAAUGCACAAAGACGGUACCCUACGCUCUCAGAGUGUCCCCCCCUGUCUCCCUGCAUAUAACAUGUACAUGGGAGGAGUUGACAAUACAGGGCGUAUGAGGAAAACCUAUGGGUACGAUAGAAAGUGUCGGCGGUAUUGGUUCAGGAUUUUCUUUCAAUUCCUUGACGUUAGUGUGAAUAAUGCAUACAUUCUAUACAGGCACAACUGUGUCAGGGUGGGUUCAAAGGCCAUGCCUUUGAAAGGGUUUCGAUUGGAACUAAUUCAUAGUCUAUUGGGUGUGCCACGUACUCGUAGCAGUGCCUCAGGUCUGGCCAGUCUAAAUAUCGUUUUCCCCCCAUCACAGGGCGCACGUGUGAGUGCAAAUAGUGUCGGAGUGUCUCGUGGGCGCUGUCAAGUGUGUGUUCGGGAGAAGAUCCCUAGCAGAGAGCAGCAACACACUGCAAUGGCAUGUCCCCACUGUCGCAUAAGAAUAUGCAAAGGACACUCUGUUAUCGGACACACAUGUGCUAGCUAAUGUGCUGUGUGACUGAUUUUUGUUAGAUGGUACUCUCCUGGUCUAAAUUGGCCUUGGAGAGGGGAGGAAAGGGGUAUUAUUUCAAUGAUUAAUAAAAUUGUGAUAAAGAAUUCAGUUGUAUAUGAGAGGCCCUAACCCACUCUGUUGUAAAUUCUGUUGUAAUUAUCUCUUUCCUUGGCAAUCUGUUGUAGAAAUUACAACAAUGGGUAAGGAAUCGUUAUGAUGAAUUAGAUGAAGUUGUAUGUGAGCUCCUCCCUGACAAACAAACUGUAGUCUAGGUAACCGCCUUAUCAGUCAAGUAGGCUAAAAAUCUGUGUCCUUUGAUGUAAGCUUUGAUGUCUCUUUGUGCAUAUGUAGUUAUAAAAAAAAAAAAAAAAAAAAAAAAGAAA